rnacentral:rRNA from 1 species
GAUGAACGCUGGCGGCGUGCCUAAUACAUGCAAGUCGAGCGAACAGACGAGGAGCUUGCUCCUCUGACGUUAGCGGUGGACGGGUGAGUAACACGUGGAUAACCUACCUAUAAGACUGGGAUAACUUCGGGAAACCGGAGCUAAUACCGGAUAAUAUAUUGAACCGCAUGGUUCAAUAGUGAAAGACGGUUUUGCUGUCACUUAUAGAUGGAUCCGCGCCGCAUUAGCUAGUUGGUAAGGUAACGGCUUACCAAGGCAACGAUGCGUAGCCGACCUGAGAGGGUGAUCGGCCACACUGGAACUGAGACACGGUCCAGACUCCUACGGGAGGCAGCAGUAGGGAAUCUUCCGCAAGGGGCGAAAGCUUGACGGAGCAACGCCGCGUGAGUGAUGAAGGUCUUCGGAUCGUAAAACUCUGUUAUUAGGGAAGAACAAAUGUGUAAGUAACUAUGCACGUCUUGACGGUACCUAAGCAGAAAGCCACGGCUAACUACGG